CUUUGGCAUUCACCUCCACCUUGCACCUCCCAAUCUGAUUACCUCUUCAGUUCCAGAAUCCCUGCGAGCUUUAUCAUCACCUGUAUCAUCCUUUGUGUUUGUCGCGUCACCAUAUAAAUCCUUCAAUUUUGCCAAGUUGGAUGGCUCUGGUGGUCUACCAAAUGGGCUAGAGCGGUGAUUUUCACCUUCGGUUCUGCCACGGUUUGGACUCCUGCUCCUGCUCCUGCGGGCACUCGAACGUCCAUGUCGAUCAGAAUCCCUGUCCCUCCUUUCACGGCCUUGUCUGUCAACAUUCCUACUUGAAUAGCUUGAACGACGGUAAUCACGGUCUCUGUCCUCACGGGCAUGGCGAUCAUGCUCCCUAUCCUUGUGCCUACCACGGUCACGAUCCGAACGAUCACGCUCAGAAUCAUGAUCACGUUCAUGGCUCCGACUUCGUCGCCUCCUGGGUGAAGAUCUUGCACACUCACCAUCAGAACUCCUUUCUCUAUCCCUUGCUGAAGGCAAUGUCUUCCGGACAGGGGAUGAGUCCCUUGUGGAUGCACGGUGUGGAGCACGCUGACCAAAGGAGACCGACAGAGAAGCCUUUACUGAAGGAGGCCGUCGGGCAGUAUCAUCUGAACCAAGGCGACUAGAGUCCCCUGUUAUUCCUGACUGCUUUGUUGGGAGCUUCAUCUUCUCAAGAUGGCCAGUGACCUGUCUCAAGAUCGGAAGAGGCACUCGUGGAAGAAGACUGUCAAAGUAGUACUAUACAAAGUGGUUACUGGUGGAAGAGAUGAUGUCUCCUCUUAAAGCAACUCCACAAUUGAAAUUUCCGCUCAGUAUGCCAAACCAACAGGUGAGUGAUUCAACAAACACUAAUUGCAUUUAUGUUCAGAAAAUACUAUGUCAAUGAUGUAUGCCCACGGAUGUGCUUGGGUAACUAAAGGACACUGUAACAGGAACUUUACAAUACUGUUCUAUUUAAAGGCAGAAAUGAAAUGAAGUUCACAAGAUAUACCUGCCCAAGUAGAAGAUCUCGCACAUAAACACCCAUAGUAGUCAUUUUACCAUUAGAUCCAGGAGAAAACUCCUCAUCAUCUUUAAUGUAGGGUUCAUACCAACUCCACAACGUCUUUGGUUCCGCAACAUAUCGCAGAAAACAACAGGCUUACAGCUCUGAUGUAAGGCGAGUCAGGGUGCUUCAGCAGGCCGUGCAUCUGCUUAACCGUGAGCUUCAUGGUGAAGAACUUGUAGAGGAGGCAGAAGGCGCUGGAGGGCCCGCGGCAGUUGCCGGUCAUCCAUGGCUCUACGUGGUCAACCUGAUUGUAGAUCUCAUCAAUGACCUCGUGGUAAGUCUUCAGCCUGUAGAGCUCCUUGAAGUAGUCCGAGGAGAGGAUGUUCACUGACAAAACCUUCUCCAUGAGCACAUCGAUUGGCCUCCCUGAUGACUGUAUCUCCAUUUCCC
rnacentral:sRNA from 1 species